rnacentral:lncRNA from 1 species
UACUUGGAGGCUUACAUAGACCUCUACAUACACAUAAUAUAUAUUCAUAUCGAGUAUACAUAGACCCUUCAUAUAGGAAGGUUACACAGCCUUCUAAUUUUAUUGCACAUACAUAUAUAAAAAUAUAGAAAUAAUCUCAACGAUUGUCACAUCUCAUACCAUCUAAACGAAUAUCACAAUAUGGGCAUAGCCCUUACAUCAUUUCAAUAAGACCAUGUAAAGGUCAUACGGACAAUAUUGAAUUAAAAAGGAAAGGAAUGAUAGAGUCAAUACGCUCAUAACAAAAUCCAAAGCUAGAGGAUGACAUUCCCUCGAAAGUUGAGGACCUACCCUACUUAGAUGAAAGGAAGAUCCGAGUAUUCAACAAUGUCGCCUUCCAAACUCUUCAACGACCAGAACCUAAAAUGUUUGAAAAAAGGUAAGAAAAUAGGAUUAGUACUCCACAUGUACUAAAUAUGAGAUCUUAUGCACAUACACAAACAAAAUAUGCUAAAAGAGACUUUUUAUCAAAACAUGUCAUUUUACCCCUUUAGGGACUUAAUGAAAAGUCAAUUAAGUCAUAUUAAUCAACCAAAUAUGCUUACUAUCUCAACAAGUAAUACUUAUCCCAACAUACUUGAAACCAUGAUUUACUACAACUCUAACAUCAAGGAAUAAUAUCACAAGAAUGAAUAAGAGUUAAACAUAUCAUAAUAAGCAAGACCACUACUCACAAGUCCUUACCAAGUCAACAAGUGCAAUGACCAAGCAAAGUCCCAUAACCUUACUCAAUCAAGUAUCCUCAACAAGAAAACAUGAUCAAUGUCCAAAUUUACAUAUCAUAACAUUUAGGCUUGCAUGUCAUCAUGUAUUAUCAUUAUAACCCAAGGCAUAUUCAUAAAUGAACAAAUCAACAUAUGUUAUCAACAAUGUGACAUGGUCAUCAUAUAUACAACAUAUAUUGUCAUAACAUAAACAUAUAUAAGAACCUCCUCCUAAGAUUCCCCUUAAGGUUAACUAGUGCAAUGUCUAGGUAGAGUCCCAUACCCCUACCUAGACUAAGAUAGACCCCUUAGGUUAUCCAAGUUAGAGUACAAGUUCUUUAAUUCGUUUCAUCAUUUUCGGAAUAUCUUUCCCUAACCAACAUAGACCACAUGAGCUAGUAUGGAAUCCCGUGUCAUAAGACCCUACACCAAAGAAGACGAACUACUUGCCAAGGUAGUACCAAAACAUGAAACAUAGCAACUACGUGGAUCCACUAGCUAGUAUUCCUAAAGAGGCACCAUAGUUCAAGAACUAGAAGAUUUAAUUGGGACCCUCUUUAUGUGCCAUGCAUUAUAGUCUCCAAUCUCGAGAGUAAUGUAGUGUUCCUACCUUCCCUAUGUGGGAAGGGACACUCCUCUAUCUAGUUCACUCAGUGUUAAGCUAGAGUCUCUUUUUGAAAUAUCUUUAAGCCUUCAAUUACCAAUCAUAGCUUAAUUUAGGCCAUAGGGUCUACCCCUUGUAUAAUCAUCAUCAUCAAUAACUCAAUAAGAAUUGUAUCAGUAUAAUUCCUUUCAUCACAAUUCAUAUAAGUGAGGUUAACAGAUUAAUAUUUCAUAACAUAUUAAGGCACAUUGAUAGUUUUCACCAUCCUUAUAGCACAUACACCUUAAUUAACCUCACAAAAUAGUCAAGACAUUUCAAUUCAACAUCGUACCACCCUAUAAUCCUAGUGUAAUGCAUACUCCACUGUAAUAUCAUAACUUAACAACAAUUAAUCGCAAUUGGAAGAAAAGAUAGAGAUUCUAAGACUUACCAAGUCUUCCUCAUAGUCUAUCAUCAAGGUCUUACAAUCAACCCAUAGCUCAACCCAACUUGGGGAGUAAUAGUAUCACACAAUGAUAACAAAUAGAAUAACAAGGCCAAUUACAUCUCUAUAAAAACAAUUCAUCUUUAGAUCACAACUUGAGAUAAGGUAUAUAGGCUAAUUUCACAUUAUAAUUCAUAACCUAAAUCACAUCUUAAGAACUAGCAUGAUAGGCCUGUAAUUCAUUUUAAUUUGAUCAUAAUAACACCAUAGGAUAGUAAUCAAAUCAACAACAAACUCAACUGAAUGAUCACAAUACAAUAUAGGUCAAGAUCACUGCCUAGGGUUAGGGAUAGAGGAUCAUAUUCUUCAAUUUAGACAAAACCAUAAACAAUACCAUAAACAAGUUCAAUUACAUGCUAAUAAAAUAAAUAUAACCCUAAUAAUCCAUUAACAACUCAAUCCAUAACUUCAAUUUUUUCGUACUUGAAUAAAACCUAUAAUAUAACUCAACUUUUUGAAAUCUAUUUUGAAGGAACCCUUUGAGGAAAGAACCUCAAAGGUAAAUAGAACCCAUACCUUAAUGUUUUGUUGAAAACUGAAAAUGAAUCCACCCUUUUUCAUACCCCAAUUCACCUCCCAAGGUAAGCUUCUAUGGAGUCUUUCAAUUAGAGAGAGAAAGAAGAGAGAAGGAAGAGUAUUUAUUUUGAGAGUUGUUUUUAGGUUAAUGAGGUUUGAGGGUAUUUAUAGUGACACUUAACCAACUUAAUUAGUCUCCCUUUAAUAUCCAACUAACCCCUAAACCACAUAAUUAAAUUAAAUGAAAUUAUUAAAAUUAAACAGUGAAACUCGACCCUCACGGAUGAGACCCCGAUCGACGGUCCAUCUGUGAGUCGACGGACAACCCCCCCCCCUCUUCGUCCUGCACUCCGUCGUCUCGGUCAAAGACUUUGCAGGCGAGGGCUUACUCCAAUUUGUUUAAGUGUGGGACGACAGUGGCAUCGUCGAUCCACACACGGACCAUAGCCUGCACCUCUACACUCAGUCGAUGAGUUCAGAGACUGUGCAGGUAAAAGGACCUUCUCAAUUAUGACAUUUUGAAAAAAAGAAGAUCCUCUUCUUAAAAUAAAAAUUAAUAUGAGUGAAAAUCAGAAGUGAAGAAAAAAUUGGUGGGGUUCAAUGAUGAAGAAUAAAAAGAAGAGGAAGAUGAAAGUUGAAAAAGGGGAGGUUUUUUGGAGUAGGAGAAAAAGUAUAGGGGUGGGGUUCGAAGUAGGAGAAAUGGGGUGGGGAGUUUUAAAGAAGGACAAAGAGAGGGGGAGGGGGUGUUUUGGUUAAGAAGAAUGGGGUGGUGCAUGGGUGGUUGAAGGCGACAGUGGGUAGUGAGCUGUGGGGAAGAAAAAUGUGUGUUGCUGGUAGCAAAGGAUGGGGUGGUGGGGGUGUAAGGAAGAUGAAGAAUGAAAAAUGAUGGCUGAGAAGAAAAUAAAAGGGACCCACUUAUCUUUUCCUUUUAAACUUUUUGUCAAAC